UCCAGGGCGGCCAGGCGCAGGCUCAGGUUGUCGCCUUGGCCAGCCAACGAGUUCAACACUCGUGGGUCGCUCAGCUCGGCCACCAGGGU
rnacentral:tRNA from 1 species